AUGCUUGCUUCGGUAGCACAUAUACUGAAACUGGAAUGAUACAGAAAAGGUUAGGAUGGCCCCUGCACAAGGAAGACAUGCAAUUUCGUUAAACAUUCUAUAUUUUA
ensembl:snRNA U6 U6 spliceosomal RNA